AGUGAACGCUGGCGGUAGGCCUAACACAUGCAAGUCGAACGGCAGCACAGAGGAGCUUGCUCCUUGGGUGGCGAGUGGCGGACGGGUGAGGAAUACAUCGGAAUCUACUCUGUCGUGGGGGAUAACGUAGGGAAACUUACGCUAAUACCGCAUACGACCUACGGGUGAAAGCAGGGGAUCUUCGGACCUUGCGCGAUUGAAUAAGCCGAUGUCGGAUUAGCUAGCUGGCGGGGUAAAGGCCCACCAAGGCGACGAUCCGUAGCUGGUCUGAGAGGAUGAUCAGCCACACUGGAACUGAGACACGGUCCAGACUCCUACGGGAGGCAGCAGUGGGGAAUAUUGGACAAUGGGCGCAAGCCUGAUCCAGCCAUACCGCGUGGGUGAAGAAGGUCUUCGGGUUGUAAAGCCCUUUUGUUGGGAAAGAAAUCUAUCUGGUUAAUACCCGGGUGGGAUGACGGUACCCAAAGAAUAAGCACCGGCUAACUUCGUGCCAGCCGCCGCCGUAA
rnacentral:rRNA from 1 species